GAAAGUUUCAGCGUUGUGACGCUGAAAAGAAAUUCAUUUAGGGUUUUUGAUGUUAUAGUAAUAUUUUGUAGUAAAAAAAAAAAACUAAUAGGCGCCAUUUUUUAAUAGUGCAGAGCAAAGUGUUUUUAUAGUAAUUAAUACAAAUUGUCAGUAUACACUUUUUAACUCUCAAGACAGACUUUGUUUUAUCCCUACUUACAAGGAAUAUACAGAUGUUAAAUGUCAUGAAAUAAUUGAAUAAAUAAUGUUAAGUUCCCUAGUAAUUCAGUAAUCCAAAACUGUGUUCCAACUGUGUGAUUUCAGUACACUGUUUACUUGUCAACUGCUUUUUAUUCUAAAGGUUCUCUUCAAAACUUCACGCAUGGAAGCCCCUGGAUUACGAGCUAAUCCAAAGAAAACUGCAAAGGCUCUUGAACUGAUGGAUUCAACACCUAUAUCAAAGCAACCACACAAGAGAGACUUAACAAGAGCUACCCUGACAAAACAGGCAGCCACACACAUGGUUGAUGCCCUGAAGGAGGAACUGAGAAAACAAAAAGUACCUGAUCCUAACACGGCCCCACCACUUUAAGACUCUGACUUAGACUCUGACGCAACAGCCAUUUCUGAAGAAUCCUCUCCCAUGAAGGAACCAAUAAGAAUUCAUGAAUCAGAAAGUGAGGAUGAUAGCCCAUCACAGUGCCCAAAAAAGAAACCAAAGCUUGACGAUGAAAUUGUCAGUGCAUUGAAAGAGUUGCCAAAGGUAGUAAAAACACUAAAAGAUAUAGUGGCGACCAUGAUGGUGGCUCCAGCCUCAUCAAGUCAAGUGCAACAAACAUUUGUUGGAUCACCGCCUGCAGAAAUGAUGUCCCUGGGUGAAGGAUCAACAUUCCAAAAAAGAAAUUCGAUCGAUUGUCUAAGACCAAAAUGUCAGUGUUUACCCAGGAGCUGGCAGUUGUCAUUUUUGGACACAAGGCUCUGGCGACAUCAAGUCUAACGGGCAAAAAAACAACAACAAACAGCGCUGGACUCCAUCAAAGUGAAUGCGCUCAUUGAUGCUGUGAUUGCUCGUUUUGAAGGGACCACUCCUUCCCAAGUCAGGGCUUUACUUUGACAGAAGUGUAACAAUGAGGGUUAUGCUAAAAAAAUUCAAGAAAGUGGUGUGUUUAAAGGCGAUAAUAAUUAAUUGAGCAUUAUGUAAUAGGCUGAAGUGACCUACUAAAGGGGUAGUCAAAGUUCAUG